rnacentral:lncRNA from 10 species
AUGCAGGUGUGACCUUUCACCUCCAGGAGAUGGCCUCCGAACUUCUGCCCUCCAGGACUUGCCUGAGACUUUCAUCCAUCAGGAAGCUCCUGCUGCCUCUGUUCCCGGUGUGGACAGCCCGAGGUCCAGGGCUCCAAGUGUCCAUUUCUCUGAGCAACUGGGAAAGGAAAAGCACAGAUCUGGAAUGAAAUGUGCCCCGGAGAAAGCCAAGAGCUCUCUCAGCAUUGUGUUCACGCGUUUUCCACACAGCGCAGGAGGCAGCAGCAGAGACUUUCAGGGAAGAGGAGCCCUUGGCAUCCACAAGAAACUGGAACCCUCGGUGGGACUCAGGCCUGGGCCCCCAGCCCUCCUGGAGGACCGUAUCUAUAGGAGACUUCAGGAGACAGCCUGGCGGUGAGCCGGGGAGGGUUUCCUGAUCUGAGCAGGACAGAAAGUGAAGAACAUUGACCCACCUGUAACCAGACUCCAGCAGAAGACUGAAGCUGUGCUUAGGAACUGCAGGACAGCACUGCCCCCCACAUUCCUGGGAGGAUCCCUGAGCCUCCGGCAAGGCCAGAAGGGGGACUUUGGGAGGCUUUAAGGUUGCUUGCCACAGUUACAGGAAGCUGCACAGGAAACCCACCCAGAGAUGAAUGGGAUCAAUUGGGACCAGCCUGGGCCAUGCUGAGAGAUGAACGCUAGAAUAGCAGCAUCUCAGAGAGAUUCCUUUGUGUUUCUGGCUGUCAAUAAAUGUCUAUCCAGCUACCCGGACUAAAAUCUUGUUCAUCAAGACCCACCAUCCACUCUUCACCAACAUCCAGGUGACCGCUGAAUCCCUGCUCACCCACCACCUCCCAGCUUCCUCACUAACAGGGCCUGUGUACCCAUGCCUGCUACCUUCCUGGGGGAAGUACCAUGCACAGCCCUGAUGAACACGGAAGCCUCCCAACUGGGUCCAGUGCCAGCGCUCCCCCAGCUCAAACUCCACUUCAGCCCUCCCUUCACUCCACCCCUGCUCAACCCCUUGAUCCUCUCCACCCCUCCCCCAGCCCUCCCUCCAC